UACGUAGGGGGGCAAGCGUUGUCCGGAUUUAUUGGGCGUAAAGAGCGUGUAGGCGGUUAGGUAGGUCCGUUGUGAAAACUCGAGGCUCAACCUCGAGACGCCGAUGGAAACCAUCUAACUAGAGUCCGGGAAGAGGAGAGUGGAAUUCCUGGUGUAGCGGUGAAAUGCGCAGAUAUCAGGAGGAACACCGGUGGCGAAGGCGGGUCUCUGGGCCGAUAUUGACGCUGAGGAGCGAAAGCGUGGGGAGCAAACAGG
rnacentral:rRNA from 1 species